rnacentral:lncRNA from 1 species
AAGGGGACGGGGCCCCGACUCCGCCGCUACUUCCGAGGCCCUCUGGGAAUCGUAGUUUUCUGGGAUCAUUUUGCACCGGCACUCUGCGGUCUUUGCGCCUUAUGGGGUCGCUGCAAGCAGGUUGGAGCCCCAGGGGCUCCGCACACCCUGAUUGAACUGACUCCGCUGAUUCCCGCUGAUCAGUCUUUCUCGGAAAGCCCCUCAGAUUGCUCGUUUGUCUCGGCUCCCUGGACCUGGUCGAGGCUUCAAUCCCGUCCGCCAGGCUUGUUGCAGCUGGCCAAAGUGCUCCUUCUUAUAAUUCUCGUUACUGCUCUGCCACCCCAACCAGACUUUCUUGCAAAACUUGGUAUUUCAAUUAGUCUGCAGAUAUUUCUUGAAUACCAAAUAUGUGGCAGUAGCUUUCUUAGUGUGAGAAAAGCAAGAUUUGACUCCCAAGACUCAUCAUCUACGUGGAAAGAUAAAACAAAGACACAAAUAGCUAUAGUAUAAGACGCCUGCUACCCUCCCUCCUGCAUACUGACUUCAUCUUGUAACAGGCUUUGUGAUAAAAACCUGGGAGAAUAUUGGUUCUGGAAUUCCUUGUGGACAAGUCUGGGGAGACCAUUGGUCCUGGCUCCACUCCUGGAAGGGUCUUUCAGAUUUUCAGAAGAAAACUCCUGGCAGACAAAUGAAUCUUUCCUCUCUGCAGUCUCGGGACUGGGCCUUUUCCAAGAGGACACAGAAGAGGAGAGAAUGGCAGCUGUGCCCCUAGCAGCCAGAUGGCAGUUGAAGAGAGGCAAAGAGCCAUGGAAACUUGAUCAUCAGGAAGCUGAGGAGAGAGAAGUCCCAGGAAGCACUUCUCUAGGAAUGCGUGAGCUGGGCAGAUGGGGCUUUGCUGGACAGUUCACUUAGAGACCACUCCUUAGGAUCGCAUAGACCUAUGAGAUGGCCACUGCCACACUGGCCUUUGCCUGGAAAACUCGUACCAUGUAUAGCCACAUGGCCUUCUUGUCACCUUUUUCAAGUUUUUGCUCAAAUGUGCCACCUUCUCAGUCAGGCCUGGCCUGAUGACCCUAUGUAAAAUUGAACCCUCUCCAUCCCUUUGUCCCUCCCAGCCCCUGCACCACCCGCUCUCUUCCCGACUCUGUCUUCCUAACAUACUAUAGUUUUACUUCUUCAUUUUGUUGGUUGUCUGUCCACACCUACCCUCUGUUAAAGUAUAAACUCCAUCAGAGACUUUUUCUGUUGUUUGCUACUGUAUCCCCAGUACUUCAAACAGUACCUGGUACAGAGCACACACUCAGGUAUUUGUCAGAUGAAUGAAUAAGUGGAGUGUGCAUAGCAAGGCCCGCCCCCGUUGGGUUUUUUGCAGGGAGGGUUGAGAUCUAUCAUUAUUUCAACUCUGAUAUCACUUACUUAUCUUUUCUGCAUAUCCUUUACCGUAUCUCCUCCUCUUCCUUUAAAUUACCAUUCAGUGGCCAUUGACAGUUCACUUUCUCAGGUGCUAGCCUGUCUCCCCACUUUUUCUCUGCUGUUUAUACUCAUCGAGUAACAAACUGCCCAGUCAUUUCCCCGCUUCAUUGUGUAUCUCCUAUUUUUAUGCACGUAUCUCUCUCUGAAAUGCUCUUCUUUUGGCUGUGUACUUGGUUAACAACUUUCAGAUCUCAGCUUAAAUGUCACUUCUAGAUGACCGUUCUUAAGGGUCCCUCUAAAGAAGUCCCCACUCCAACUCUCAUUCAUCAUUUCCUUUGCUGUACUUAUCACCAUCUGUUAUAUUUUGUUUAUUUAUUCUUUGUCUUCUGUCUAGUAGAAUAUAAGCAUAACAAGGGUGGGGACCAUGUCUGUCUUGUUCAUUAGGGUCCCAAUGACUUUUACCAUGCCUCCUUACCACUAGGCAGGCCCCUAGUAAAUAUCUCAUGAAUGAAUAACUGAAACUUGUUCAGUGGGCUAGAUGCCCACCUUCCACUUCUGGUCUCUAUUCCUCUUUUUUCCUCUGCCAUUUUUCAGCCUCUCCGUAAUGUUUUUUCUCUGAGGAGCUACCAAUAAACCCAGCAGUAUUUUGCAUUUGUUCUUUUCUUAAUAUAUAUACAAUGUUUUCCUUUUCACUAGCACUCAAACCCAGUUAUAUCUGUGUUUUCUGUUUGUUUUAUACCAGAAGGCUAGACUUAAGAGCCAGGACUCAACUGAAAAGCAGGAUGUUUCUAAAAAAGUAAAGUCAUUACUGAAAAUACAAGACAUGAAUGAAAAACCUCAGAAAAGAUGGUCCUCUGGGUCCUGUACUUGGCCCAGAAAACCCUGAGGGCACAAAGAAAGAAAAUGCUUCAGGGGAGACUUUGAAGAAAUCGUCCCCCAAGGAGAAGGACUCAGGCAAGGAUACACUCUUGCCAAACAAACUGACAAUAAGGAGAUACAGUUGGAAGGCAGUGUAUGUGGGAAGACCUUAUAUAACCAUUUACCCCUCACUUGCCAUCAGAGGACCCACACUGAAGAGAAGCCCUACGACUAUAAAGAAUGCGGGAAAGCCUUCAGCUAUAGGAGUAGUCUUAAGAAACAUUUGAUGUCUCACACUGGCAAGAGCACCUCUGAAGGCAGCGAAUGUCAGGAAACUUUCCAUGACCAAUUAACCCUUAUUGAACAUCAGCGAAGUCAUACCAGAGGGAAGCCUUUUGAAUGUAAUGAAUGUGACAAGGCUUUCUUUGUCCACUUGUGCUUUACUCCACAUCAGAGAAUUCAUACUGGAGAAAGACCUUGUGAGUGUACAGAAUGUGGGAAAUCCUUUAGCCAGAAAAGCAAUCUCAGUCACCACAUGCUCACUCACCCUGGAGAGUGGCCCUGUGGGUGCAAGGCAUGUGACAAAGCUCUGCUUGACCACUCCUCCCUCGUUCACCACAGGAAAGCGCACACUAGAAAGACCCCUUUUGAAUGUAAUGAGUGUGGGAAAGUUUUCUUUGACCCCUCAUCCCUUAAUAAACAUCAGAAAAUUCAUAGUGGAGACAAGCCCUAUAAAGGCACUGAAUGUGGGAAAGCCUUCCUCCAGAAAAGACAACUUAUUCAACAUGAAAGAGUGCACACUGGAGAGAAAUCCUGCAAGUGCAGCAUGUGUGGGAAAGUGCUCAGUUGAAAGUCAUCUAUCAUCUGACAUCAGCGACAUUAUGCAGACAGGCUUCAGAGUAUCACGAAGGUGCUUCAGCUGGACAAGGGACCCCCGUAGUGACUUUGAAACCAGAGGCCAACUUGCUUUAACUAUACUCAGUUAGUUGUCUGUUUGCAAAAGUAGUUAGAUAAUGCAUUGCUAAAACCUGCCCUAUAAAUAACGUCUCUGAUGCCUGGGUCACCGUAAUAACAGGUGCUUGAGUUUUUCAGGAUCUGAAAGUCGACUCCUUGUCCAGUUCAGGCUGGUUAAGACAACCAACUCAUCAACUGGACCUGCACAGAUGACCAAUAGGUGACACUGUGACAUCAAGGAGCUGAAAACUCCACCCUCAGAUCAUGGUAAUGCUGCCAUUUUGUGAAUAUGUGUCCUAUGAAGAGCCAUGAAGCUUGACUAGACUUGCACGGAUCAUCAAUUACCUCACUUCUCCUUCCCUCCAAUCAUCUUUUCCCACUUCAGACCAUCCUGCCUGCCCCCUUAUCCCAUAAAUAUCCCUCGUCCCCAUUUUGGGGGGGAGGUAGAUUUGCCCACCUCCUUGCUUGGCUGCCUUGUGAUUAAAUCCUUUCUCUUUGCAGACUCGUCAUCUCAAUGAUUGGCAUAAUUGUGUGCCAGGAAAAACAAACCUGGUUCAGUAACUUCAAGAUAAUGAAGAUUUAUCUUUGAGCGCCUUCUAACUACUGUUAAUUCUCAUGCCUCCAUUUGGUACCAGAGUCUCAAUAAAUAGUCUCAGUAGAUCACACCAUGGACUUCCCCUGGGGUACUUGAAAUUUAAGAUAAUAGUCUGAGGAGCCCCAAAUUGGUCAGAUCAGAAGCUUUCCAAUCAACAUGCUUUGUAAGUGUUUGAAGGGGAUUCUAAGAUAAGCAUCAUAUAUUUUAUUUAUUUAUUUAUUCAUUCAUUCAUUCAUUUAUUGCUAGACUGCUCCAUGAGAACAGGAACUUUUUCAUAUCCAUGCACUGCUGUGUCCCCAGUGUGGUGCCUGGCACUUAUUACAUAGUUUCUGAAUGAAUGAAUACCUGUCUAGUCAUGAGAACUUGAGUCCCAAAUCAAGUGCACUUUCUAGAACUAGAAACUUCGGUACCAAAAUAAACAUCAA